rnacentral:rRNA from 2 species
GGACUACUGGGGUAUCUAAUCCUGUUUGCUCCCCACGCUUUCGUGCCUGAACGUCGGUACUGGACCAGGAAGCCGCUUUCGCCACUGGUGUUCCUUCAGAUAUCUACGCAUUUCACCGCUACACCUGAAAUUCCGCUUCCCUCUUCCGUACCCUAGCUAUCCAGUAUCGAAUGCAAUUCCCAGGUUGAGCCCGGGGCUUUCACACCCGACUUACAUAACCGUCUACGCACGCUUUACGCCCAGUAAUUCCGAUUAACGCUUGCACCCUCUGUAUUACCGCGGCUGCUGGCAC